GGAUUGUGGCUCAGUGGCAGAGCGCUUGCCUCGCAAGUAUGAGGCACUGGGUUGGAUCCUCAGCACCA
rnacentral:tRNA from 1 species